rnacentral:lncRNA from 1 species
UGUUUCUUUAUUGAGUCCCUACUACCUCUACGGAUAUUCUGGGGGCAAUUAAAGAAAAUCACCGCUUCAUAGGCAGCACAUAUUUCCCAUAGAAAUGUGGAAUGUAAGAAAGGCACAUAAAGCAAUCCAAGUUGCCUGCAGAUAUCCACAGCCUACUUCAGUCUCAGUAAUGCUCUUUUAACCUGGCUAUAUGGAGAGUUGACAGAAAAUACAGGAUCAUCAAUCAAUGAUACAGUAAAUACA